UACGUAGGGUGCGAGCGUUAAUCGGAAUUACUGGGCGUAAAGCGUGCGCAGGCGGUUUUGUAAGCCAGAUGUGAAAUCCCCGGGCUUAACCUGGGAAUGGCAUUUGGGACUGUAAGGCUGGAGUGCGGCAGAGGAGACUGGAAUUCCUGGUGUAGCAGUGAAAUGCGUAGAUAUCAGGAGGAAUACCGAUGGCGAAGGCAGGUCUCUGGGCUGACACUGACGCUCAUGCACGAAAGCGUGGGGAGCAAACAGG
rnacentral:rRNA from 1 species